AUGUAUCAAUUGUCCUUAUAAAUCUCAAGGCUCAAUGGUUGUUAUGGUGAAGCUCAAUUCAGCCCUUCUCAAAGAUGUAAGUGAUGAUAUUGACUUCUGUUUUAAGCUUGCUAAGGAGGAAUCUGUCAUUUUACUUCCAGGAACUGCUGUGGGAUUGAAGAAUUGGCUUAGAAUAACAUUUGCAGUUGAGCCAUCUUUUCUUGAAGAAGGAUUAACAAGAUUGAAAUCUUUUUGCCUAAGGCAUUCCA